rnacentral:tRNA from 1 species
AGAAACAUGAACAAUUUUAUUGCUCUUUAUAAAGUUAGAAGCUUUAUUUAUUUGAUUCUUU